GGUUUCUCUGUGUAGCUUUGGAGCCUGUCCUGGCACUCACUCUGGAGACCAGGCUGGCCUCGAACUCAACAGAGAUCUGCCUGACUCUGCCUCCCCAGUCCUGGGAUUAAAGGUGUGCGCCACCAACGCCCG
rnacentral:miRNA from 1 species